GCUCUGCGCGGGGAGUCAGCCGGCCACCGCCCUCCAGCCCGGGACUUCAUCCUCCGCCCGGCCGCGCGCUGGCGAUUCUGAACAUCUUUAUGACUUGAUGGCUGCGUCGGGCUGUGAUCUUUGAUCCUCGGCGGUGAUAGCACCCGGGGGUUUCAGCCGGCAGGGGCAGCCAGAGUCACGUUAGGUCUGCACGGGUCUGCACGGGCACUUAGGGCUGGCUGCUUCUCGCUCCUUGCCUCCACAGGGUCCGGCUUUUGGGUUUACGUUUUAUAGUAUCUUAAGUAAAGAGCCAUCUUGCAGUCCACGUGCUCUCUCGCACUGUUUUUAUCUCAGUUGAUCCUACAACAACGCAGUGACGUUGAAGGAUGGGAAGGGCAGGCGCCCUUCAAUCCAUUUGAUCAAUAUAGAAGCAUUUAGCUUUUGGAUAAUAAAUUUUAAUGUUGGCGUAGCCUAUUGUAGCUGCAACUUCCAUUCUCCUGUGUUCACUGAAAAGACAAGUUUAAAGAGGAAAAAAGCAGGGAGGAGGGAGAGUUUGUAUCAAUGGAUGUGAAGUCUCGCUGUCUCUACAGUUCUGGGGCCUUUUGGACUGCACCCACGACAUGUGGAGAUUGCCAGGCUAGGCAUUGAAUCAGAGCUGUAGCCGCGGACCUACACCACACCCACAGCAACACCAGAUCCGAGCUGGGUCUGCAACCUACACCACAGCUCACAGCAACACCGGAUCCUUAACCUUCUGAAUGAGGCCAGGGAUGGAAACUGCGUCCUCAUGGAUACUAGUCAGAUUCAUUUCUGCUGAGCCAUGACCAGAACUCAACCUUUGUUCUUUAAAAGGAUUGCAGUGUGAGAACUUUUUUGCCUAUUAAAUGACCUAGACUGAACUUUUUUUUAAUUAUUAAAAUUUUUAUUGGAUUAUAAUUGAUUUACAAAGUUGUGUUAACUUCAGGUGUACAGCAAAGCAAAUCAGUUAUAUACAUAUAUCCGUUCCUUUUUGGAUUCUUUUCCAAAAAGGAUUCUUUUUCAGUACUGAGUAAAUUUCCCAGUGCUGUAUAGUCGGUCCCUCAACCCCGAAAUCUAUCCCUCCCUCCUUGUUUUCCCAUUGGUAAACAUAAGUUUGGUUUCAAAAUCUUUGAGUCUGUUUCUGUUUUGUGAGUUCUAUUAUAUCAUUUCUAGUAGAUUCCACGUAUUAGUGAUCUUAUAUGAUAUUUAUCUUUCUUGGUCUGACUUACUUAGUAUGAUAAAUUCUAGGUCCAUCCAUGUUGUUGCAAUCGCAAUACUGCAUUCUUUGCUUUGGCUGAGCAAUAUUCCAUUGUAUGUAUGUAUGUACCCCAUCUUCUUAAGCCAUUUGUCUGUGGAUGGACAUUUAGGUUGUUUCCGUGUCUUAGCUACUGUGAAUAGUGCUGCUAAGAACAUGGGGGUGCAUGUACCUUUUUGAAUUAGAGUUAUGUCUGGAUGUAUGCCCAGGAGUAGGAUUGCUGGAUCAUAUGGCAACUCUAUUUUUAGUUCUUUGAGGAACCUCCGUAUCGUUUUCCAUAGUGGCUGCACCAACUUCCAUUCCCACCAACAGUAUAGGAAGGUUCCCUUUCCUCCACCCCCUUUCCAGCAUUUAUUAUUUGUAGACUUUUUAAAUGAUGGCCAUUCUGACUGGUGUGAGGUGGUAUGUCAUUGUCAACUUGAUUUGCAUUUCUCUAAUUGUUAGCGAUGUUGAGCAUCUUUUCACAUGCCUGUCAGCCAUCUGUAUACCAUCUUUGGAGAAAUGGGAAUUGUUUGUGUUUUUGUUGUUAUUGUUGUUGUUGAGUUGUAUGAGCUGUUUGUAUAUUUUGGAAAUUAAACCCUUGUCAGUUGCAU
rnacentral:lncRNA from 1 species